UAAAAGACUGUGGUCUCUUGGUGGAAAUCUUACAAAAAUAAGAGAUAAGCUUCCAAUGGGGUCAAUUGUUAUCUUUAACAUAUAAUUAUAGAAAAUGCAAUAUAAAUAUGGUGCAAAAAGAUCUCCUAAUAAGGCAUAAAAAAUCUAAUGGUGACUGAAUACUGAACAAUAAGUGGCCAAUUUUAAUGGGGCAACGUUUUAUUCUAGUUGUUUCUUUUUUGUUGUGACUAUUUAUUAUUAUUUUGCCUUUUCUAAUUCUCUUUUCUUGAUUGGUUGCUUUGAAAAUAAUUGGCCACGAGCUUCAAAAUGUUAAGUUGCAAUUUAAAUGGACUAAACUCGGCACAAAGAAGGAAAAAGGUAUUCCAUUAUCUAAAACAGAAGAAUAUUGAUGCAACCUUUAUACAAGAAAUGCUUAUAAAAAUGAGGAGAAAUGUUUAAAAUGUGACAAAUUGAAAACUUCAACGCAUGCAAAAGAGGGGGAGUAAAGUUAUAUUUGAAAAAAAGAAUCUAACCCCACAAUUAAUUUCUGUGGACUCACAGGAGCAAGAUAUUUGGGAGCGGAAGAAACUGUCCAAGAGCCUAAGUUACCUGUGGUUAGUAUUUUUACACCAAAUGAAAAUAAAGCAAAAUUUUAUGAAGAAUUGCUAGACAAAGUGCUAGAAUACACAUAUGAAAACUGGGUUAUACUGGGAGACUUUAAUGAGACAGUAGCACCAAAUUUAGAUAAUAAAGUAGAAGAAGAGAAAGGGAAGCUGAAACAAAAUAAAUUACCCAAAUCAUUUACAAAUUUAAAGCAGAAACUUGGCUUAAAAGAUGUAUGGAGAGCACAGGAAGCACAGGCGAAGGAUUUAAGCUUUUUCUCAAAUUGACACAGAAGCUUUACAAGGUUUGACAUGAUCUGGGCAUCAGGACAAUUCUGUAUGCAAAUACAGAAAAUUAAGAUCUUACCCGGUGGUGGGAUUCAAAUAAUUUAACAACUGUUUCCAAUAGUGGGAUUCAAAUAAUUUAACAACUGGUUGUUUAC